UUUGGGAUCUCUUAAGAAACUUAAACGAAUUCCUCAUGAUUUACCUGUAAAAAAUGAUUUAUAAGCAGACUUUUCAUGCUAAG
rnacentral:snoRNA from 1 species